UCUCAUAUUCCUCUCAUCAAGUGGAAUGAAAAGAGUAUACAAUUUUGAUCAAACGAUAAAAAAAAUCGUUAAAGAAAAAAAAACUCAAAAUUAAAAUCAUUUUUACUUGUCAAAUUAGCUAAAAAAAUAUUGUCCUAAGUGAUUUUGUUUCUGAAAAUUUGAACAAAAUAUUUAAAUUUUUAGAUUCCUCUCUUCAAGUGAAAUAAAAAAUAUAAAAAUUUGAUCAAACGAUGAAAAAAGCUAACUAAAGAUGAAAAAACUCCAAAACUAAAGUAACUAAAAAAUCUAAAAAAAUAAUUUAAGCCAAUCUGUUAAAAAAAAAAAAAAAUGUAACUUUUGUAUUACAAAAGCCAACCUUCACUUCUAUUUAUCCACCAAAUUAGAGAUUCUAGUAGCUUUAUAAUGGGGACACCAACAUGUUACAACUCAGGGGCAUUUUGGGCAAUUAACAUUUUUUUUGGCUGAUGUCAACGAGAUUCUACCCACGGAGCAGACGGAUACUUAACGGCAGAUACCAAGCGUUUUUCGAAUAUUAACAUUAGGGAGGGGAUUGUAAUUUUCAGUACCUCAGAGAGGGGAAUGGCUUAAUUAGAAACCCUAAUGGAGAUUUGUGCAAUUUAUCCCCCAAAAAAGUGUAAGAGGGCAAAACAUACGAAAACAGAGUCUGGCCUUGCUAGGGUGGGGAUCUUUGCCUAUCUUUCGCUAUGUGGCAAACUUGGAGGUCCUUCGCACCAGAACUCGGUGCAGACACCACCCAAGAUAAGCCAUGUUCGAGCCAAGGCUGUCGUUACUCUCGAGAUGUCAUCACUUAGCAAGCUUGAAAGAAUAACCGCUCAAGAGUUUGGAUAAUGGGCAAUCCGAGAGGUGUCAGGUAAUAGAAGGAAGCUUGCAUGGCGAAGUUUCUUCUAACAGCCCCUACGCUCGGAUGGAGAUGUCAGCAGUGUAAUGAUAGGCUACCAGCCAGGCCCCAGGAGUAUGGCUAGGUCGGCUGCCUACUCACUGUUACAGCGGUCAGUAUACACGAACACGUACCGACCCGCAAUCUAUCUAGUGAUAAGACAGUUAGCGCGUCAAGGUACGCACCAAGCUACACUAUAUAAGGAGAAUUGUUGUUCUCAUAAAGAUACGCACACAUUGGCUAUCUGAGUUUAUAUACACUUUCUCUCUCUACAUCUCCGAUCUUCUAACUUGACCGUCAGAGAACCGUUUUCUGAAAACAGCUUCGGCGUGGCCGAAUUCACUGUGUCUGUGCUAUAGCUAGGGCAUUGGGCAUUGACUAGUUGAAGUCACCGUGCAGUCGUAGGAUCACCACGAGUGUCUAUCUUCGAUUUUGUUCCUCUCUCCUUCAAACAUCACACCCCCAUAAAAAGCAACAACAACAAUAAUUGUGUCAAAAAUAAAUAUAUUAAAAACAAACUAGUCACCAACUUCCUCCAACUAUAUAUACCUUGCUUAGGCUUCAUACAUAUCUCAUAUUUAACAGAGAUCAGAUACUAAUUGUCAUUAGUUUCACAAAGAUAGAGAAUCAUGGAUUUCUCAUACUGCUAUACCCCUUCUCUUUUUUGUGUUCGUGGGGUUGUUGAAUUUAAGUUGUUGUGAUCCAACAGAUGGUUUCACAAACAUACCAUUGACAGAGGCCAACUUUGAUAAACAACAUACCUAUAACCUUCCUCUUUCCGAUCGUUAUAGCUAUGAAAAUGGAGUGAGAAUGUUGUGGGUUUAUUCUAUUGGUAAGCCUCAUUCCCCCGACAGUCAUAGCCUCAUUCCUCCGACAGUCUGUUGAGGACAUGUGUUAAGAAUAAGUUCCAUAUCGGAUAAUUAAAAAAAUAAUUGGCUCUUACAAGGCUUAAACUUUUAAGUAGAUAUGAGUUUCAAAUAAUGUAUAUUGGGCCAAGAUGAUGUAGAUACAGACCUAUGCUAUUUCUCUCCAAAUAGAUUAGGCCUUACAUGAGCACACGGGCGAACUCCAAUCACAUAUGAGUAUUAGAUAAAGUGACACCUUCUCGUCAAAUAAUAUAAUUACUAACUUAUAAGACAUCAAAUCCGAUACUAUUGUCAAAUAAAUUUUAUCCCAAUGACUUAGUUGUUGGUCCAUUGAUUUUAUAUUUUAUUCAUUUUUUACAAUUGUGUGGUGGUUAAGAUAUACAAAAUGACAAAAAAACUUACUUCCCAAUACGCAAUUCACACUUUUUAAUAUACUUUUACAUAUAUGUAUACACCUUUUAAUACAUUUUUUCUUCCUUAACCAACACCUAAUAAGUGAUGGUUAUCAUUUUCCUUUCUUUAUUAUGUUAAUGAAGGGUUAUAACUAUACUUAUGGUGUCUGGCAAUGUGAAGGGCUACGGCUACGGUUACGUUCCUAAGCCUACCUCUGGUGCAACAAAAGUAGGAAUGGCAAUGGGGUGGGUUCGGGACGGGUUCGUCCUCCCCCACCCCCGCCUUGAUUAAGAUAUUACUCCCCACCCUGUCCCAAACCCUGGCGGGUUGGGACUUCCUUCUCCACUCCCGCCUCAUUUACAGAAACCCUCCCCUGCCCCCGCUCGCCUCGUUUAGUUUAACGAGUUCGGGUUAAUCGGGUUUAUCCCCCAACUCGCCCCCACAAAAAACAACUUUCCUGCUAGUUUUAGAAACCUCAGGGACAGUGUCAACUCAUCAAAUAAUAUGCAGGCAACAUUAACAUAUGCUAUGAAAGAAAAUCAAAAGAAAUAAAAACAAGAGACUCAUCAUAUUGCAACAUAAACACACACUGUCACACACACAAAAAGGGAGGGACAAAGUGUCAUCAAGCCAAACAACCAGAGAAAACACCAUCAAGCAAUUACAAACUUGUGCACCACAGGUCAUUAACAGUUCAACACACACACAAAAAUACAUGUCCAUAGUGGAAGACAAAGACAACAAAAAAGACUAAAGGCAUCAACACAUCUCCAUCCAUCUCAAUAGCAUAAAACACCACAGGUCCAUAGUAGUUCCAGGAGAAUAUUUUUAUAUCAAGCCUACAUGAACUUGUGCCUACAAUAUAAACAAAGAAAGUUAUAGUUUAUAUAAAUACUUUAAAACAAUGAUAAAAUUCUUUAAUAACUACUUACCUUAGUGAGAACAAAUUGGUUUAAUAUAACUCUACACCGAAUCAUAGUCAUCUUCAAUUAUAAAUGUACAACUUGAUACAUUUGUUGAACAAAUACCUAAACAAGUGAUAUAUAAUUUCAUUAUGUAUCUAUGUGUAUUAAAAAAUCAAACAAAUAAAAUAACUUUACAUGUUUAAAUUAUUACCUUUAAUUUCGUUGCGCAAUCAGUUUUGUGCACACAUCAAAGCUUCCAAAAAUUAUAUCUAUAUUUUGUAAUCAGACAACAUAUGGAAAUUAAAGUAAAAAAAAAAAAAUUAUAACGAGUUAAAAUUUAAUUAGACAACAUUUUAUAAUCAGACAACAUAUUAUUUUUUUCAGAUCGUUAGUAUAAUCAUAUGGUAUCACCAAAAAAAAAGCAUAGAUCUGAACUUAAUAUAAUAAAUCUAACAAGUUAACAUUUAAUUAACACACAAAAAAUAAGGAAUUCCUUUAUUUCCCAGAAAAUAGAACUCAUGAACUAAAGCAAGAAAAGACAAUAGAGAAAGACUUAACAGUGCUUCAACGAUCGACGAUGGGGACGGAGAACGAUACUUCAACGGUCGAUGAUGGUGACGGAGAACGAUUGCACAAUCGCGUAGACAAAAAGGAGCUUAGGGAGACCCAGUAGAGGAGAGGCGGCAGUUGGGAAAAAAGGUAAUUAACGGAUGAGAAUAGAUAACCCUAAAUGAUAUAUAUAUAUAUAUAAUAGAAUAUAAUAUAGUCUUAUAUAAAAAAGGAUAUUUAUGGUAUAAACAAAAAGAAACAGGGGUAUUUGUCUAUACAUUCCAUAUCGGGUCGUGUCGGGUCAGUUUUAUGUUAAUGGUUGAACCGCGAACCAAUAACCCGCCCCCGCCCCAAACCCGAUUGGGGUUUUCAUUUUUCUUCCACCCCCGCCCCGAACCCAUUUAUUCAGAUCCCAAACUCGCCCUAUUAGGGUCGGGUCGGGGCCUCGAUUAUUUUGGGGGAAUUGCCAUCCCUAGACAAUAGCACAAAUUCAUGGGGCAACUCAUGAUUCUUCUACCAUAAUACUAAGGAUAUAUGAUGGAGACAUGAGGUACUACAGCGGUGAUCUUAUUGAAACCAAUAUGCAUGACCGAUUGUGGGGUAGUAGGUUAGAGAGAUGAUGGAAGGAAAAUAUAGGAUAAACAUUUACGAUGGUCUUGCGACAGCAAUGAGGGUUAGCACCAAUCAGUUGCGUGGCAGUGUACUAGCUGCAGCACCUAAACAGUGAGAUCGGCUUCCAGAGCUAUUUUUAAAAAAUGGCUCUCCGACGGUCAAGUUAGAUGACCAUAGUUAGUGUAUGUAUAUAUAUAUAGAGAGAGAGAGAGAGAGAGAGAGAAUAUAUAUGCUCUUAACAGGUGAAAAUAUUACCCUUGUGAGAAUAUGAGUUUUCCUUAUAUAGCGCAUAGUUCGGCGCGCCAACUAUUGUAUUAGUAGAUAGAUGGCUGACCAAACCAUGCUUCUGCGACUCAGUUGGUAGCAUGUCUUCAUACCGUAGAUGCCAUGUUCCAGGUAUGGGGGUUGUCGGAAAUAACUUCGUCGUGCAAGUCAUCCUCUGUCCCUUGACAAAACUCAGGAUCGCUGCGGAUCAUUGUCUCUCGAUCAAUUCUCAGUACGGUUGGUCUCCCGAGCUUACUGUGUAGCGAUAGCUUGGUUGUGAUACAGAUCCUAUAGUCUUGGAUGAUGUCAAUACUUGGUAAUGUUUCGACCGAGCUCAGACGAGCGUCGUGCCCCUACUUUGCUGCGUGAUGGUUAGCCUGGGGUGGCUAUGACCUCGGUAUGAUCCGAACUUAUAGUUGUCUAUUUUAUUCUCUUACACAGAUGGUUUAGGCUUAAUAUAAUCCAUGACGUGGAAGGAGGAAAGGUGACUGUGUUCAUCAAUGGAGUUCAAAAGUUUGAGACCAACGAUAGAGGUCCGAACGAUGAUUUCCACUUCAAGUGCAGGGUUUACAGCCUAAAGAUAUAAGCCACUUCAUGGAAUCAAGGUGGAGAGACAUCAAGUUAUAUAAGAAGUAGUUUGUCAUGUGAUGAAAGAAAUUGUUGAAGGUCUUGGAUUAUAUAAUUCAGUAAUGAAAUAUUAUUCUCAAAAGUUGUUGUCAAUUUUGAUUUGCAAUUUAUGUCACUACCCUCGAUCGCUAUUGUGUUAUUACGUUUAACUUUUUAUUUUGGUUCAAAUGUCAUAUAAAUAAUAUGUAAAAAUUGAAAGGAAAAAGUUACAUAUUUUAUUUGUUGAUUUUUUAACAUAAAUUUUAAGAUAUUCCAAAAUAAAAUAACGAUAUUUUAAUAUGGAACAAAUGCAGUAUCGUAAAGUUGUUACAGGUCUUCCCUUAGGUUUAUCUCACAGUGUCCAACGUUGCUCAAAUUAGGGUGCCCCAUCAAUGGCACAUCUACAACUCAUGAGAAACCUAUUCGUGUGUCUUGAGAGCAGAAUUGGCUACAAAGCAUGCUAGUUUCGUGCACACAUGCGUUACGUGUUCUUAUUACAUUCGUGAAAUUAAAUUUUUGCAUGUAUUAUGAUAUUUGUAAAACCAAAUUCCAAAAGGAAACUCAACAAUAAUAGAACACCAAAGAAGAAUAAAAAAUGUAAAAUAAAAUUAAAGAUAUCUAUUGACAAAUCUUUUAGAAAGUGUUCGUUUUAGUAACAUUUACUUUUCAUCGAGGAUUAAGCAGCUUAUGUGAUGAAAUACUAUAUGCUAACAUUAAUUUAACAUGUUAAACGUAGUAGUUCUCACAAUAAUUUAUAAAUAAAUAUAAAAAAAUAAAUUAAUUGAUUAUCUUUUAAAUAUUGUGGAUCCCGCAAUAUACUGUUGUGGUCCCACAAUUAAUGAUAUAUAAACUGUUUGGUUAUGUUUUACCUGUUAUGGGUAUUAAAAUAUAUUAUUGUGGGACCACAACAAUAUUUUUAAAGAUGUAUAAAAAUUUAAUUAGUUAAGUAUUAAAAUCAUUGAUGUCACGGCAAUAUGAAACAAUCGAAGGUUAAAGCAGAUAUGUGGUGGACGAAGAAAUAGCAGUAAAAUAAGUUGGCAAAUGCUUGGGAAUGGGCAAUUGGAUUUGGGUAUUUUGCUAAUAUGUGAAGAAAUCUAUGGGUGAAAUGGUCUUUCAACCAUUGCAUGGAGAAACUCAUAAAUCCUCUUUUUUAUAUGUAGUAGUAGAUAUCUAACUUGCAAAAAUAUAUAUGAAUAUUUUGGUUUACCUAUGUAUAAAUAUAUAUAUAUGUUUGAAUAAAUCCAACUUUAAGACCUUUAGAUUAAUCUCUCUCAGAUUCAAUUAGGCUAAGCGAAAAUACUGGGUUAUCAAAACAAUUGCCAUCAAAUUCAUGCUAGCUAAACCAGGUAAUUGAUUAUAUCUCACCCUGCCGUUAGAAAAUUAUAUUUAACCCAAAAGCUUAAGUCAAUAGAUGGAGAGGUCCAACUAUUGACUUUAUCAGUGCACUUGUGUUAUGUGGUUCGGCUAUAAUAACUUUCGUCCACGAGAGAUAUUAAUACUACUAUUUUCAAUCACUUAUUGAGUACAAUAUACACAAGUUUUUUUAUAGAGCUUAUAGCUCUAGAGAUAAAAUAAGUUAUAUCAUAAUUAUUUCAUAACCUUAUCAUGAUCUUCAGAAUCCAAGAGAUGAGAUAUUCUUAUCUUUGUCUCCACCUAUAUGUGGAUAGGUCCAUCCUUGCAAACAUGUUUCUUGGAUAUUAGAGCGGUCACCCAAUACAAAACUAUUUUUCUAAUUUUUUUUUGAGUGUGAUCCAGUUAAUUUGUUUUUAUGGGUAAAUCUCAUCGUAAAAAGCUUCACACUCUUCAACAAGUCUAUGAUAAUCUUUUCAAGGAGUUUUCCGAGAAGACUAAAAUUUAUGAAAAAUUUGAUGCAAAAGUGAAAUCUCUUGAAAAGGAAAGAGAUGAUUUGAAGUAAUUGAAGCUCAAGCUACCAUGGGUAAACUGAAGCCACGUAAUGCCACUUUGUCUAAAAAAAUUUAUGUCAUUAAAAAAGAGAAAAAUCAAAGUUUUCCCAAGUUAAAAGAUACUUUUUUGAAAAAAUUUAAAACUUAGGCAAAGAUAUGCAUAUCUGUCUUGAGAAAAAAUAGUUAAAUUAGAAUUUGAUCUUUAAUGCUUCUAAUGCUACUUUCAAAAAGUUUAAUGUAGAUUCAAAGGCUUUGGAUGAAAUUAUUAGUAUUUUCUUCGGUCGAGAGAGGACUUGAAUGUGUUGAUAAGCCUUCGUCUCCUUCCAAGUUGGUGGAUAAGAAUAAUUGUGUGAACCUAAAAAAGUUGCACCCAAUCAAAGAAAGGUACAAGUCAAAGAUAAUCAAAAAUUGCGUGUCUUUCUUUUGGGUGCUUGAUUUAUUUUUAUUACUUGCGAUCAUAUUUAUUUGGUUAAUUAGUUUUUGUAUAUCCAUAAAAUGCAUCAACCCAUAUUUUUUAUUUAACAAUAUUGAUAAAUCCUAGUCGCUGGAUCU
rnacentral:lncRNA from 1 species